GAUGAAGAACGUAGCGAAAUGCGAUAAGUAGUGUGAAUUGCAGAAUUCCGUGAAUCAUCGAAUCUUUGAACGCACAUUGCGCCCGCUAGUAUUCUGGCGGGCAUGCCUGUCCGAGCGUCAUUUCAACCCUCAAGCCCCCGGGCUUGGUGUUGGGGAUCGGCGAGCCUCCGCGCCCGCCGUCCCCUAAAUCUAGUGGCGGUCUCGCUGUAGCUUCCUCUGCGUAGUAGCACACCUCGCACUGGGAAACAGCGCGGCCACGCCGUUAAACCCCCAACUUCUGAACGUUUGACCUCGGAUCAGGUAGGAAUACCCGCUGAACUUAAGCAUAUCAAUAAGCGGAGGA
rnacentral:misc_RNA from 1 species